rnacentral:rRNA from 1 species
AGUGAACGCUGGCGGUAGGCCUAACACAUGCAAGUCGAACGGCAGCACAGGAGAGCUUGCUCUCUGGGUGGCGAGUGGCGGACGGGUGAGGAAUACAUCGGAAUCUACUUUUUCGUGGGGGAUAACGUAGGGAAACUUACGCUAAUACCGCAUACGACCUACGGGUGAAAGCAGGGGAUCUUCGGACCUUGCGCGAUUGAAUGAGCCGAUGUCGGAUUAGCUAGUUGGCGGGGUAAAGGCCCACCAAGGCGACGAUCCGUAGCUGGGCUGAGAGGAUGAUCAGCCACACUGGAACUGAGAGACAGUCCAGACUCCGACGUGAGGCAGCAGUGGGGAAUAUUGGACAAUGGGCGCAAGCCUGAUCCAGCCAUACCGCGUGGGUGAAGAAGGCCUUCGGGUUGUAAAGCCCUUUUGUUGGGAAAGAAAUCCAGCUGGUUAAUACCCGGUCGGGAUGACGGUACCCAAAGAAUAAGCACCGGCUAACUUCGUGCCAGCCGCCGCAGUAA